UCCUCCACCCCACACAGCCCAGGGGCCAUCAUGGGCUCAGUGACUUGUGCCGGGGUGAUGGCUGGAAAAACCCCCUGACCAACUGAGGCAGACACAAAGCAACAGCCUUCCAAAAUCCACCAGGUGACAUUGCUUUUUCCCUACCAACCAGUGAGAAAAUGAGCAAUUCCAGCCUCCCUACAGUGCUAACUGCUCCUACAGAGGUGCUCGGACAGGCCACGCUGAUUAACUCCAUGUCCCCUACAGCAUUCCUGGGCCUGUGCUCCCAGGAAGUUCAGCUUGUCCCAAGUGUCUCCGGCUUCCAAGAGCCACAAAACCUGGGAGAAUAUCAGCAACAUGAAGUGAUGGCAUUGCAGCAACCCAUCAGCAAGGCUGAUGUCCCCACAGGUCAUGUUUUCCACACCUUGACCAAGAAACCUCUGGGGUUUGUUUCCUUUCUGAAGCUGGGACAGGAGGAUGCCACCCUGAGACAAUAAUUUCCUUACCUCUCCCUUCCCCUGUAACUACUUGAUUUCCCCCUCCCUUGCACUUCUGAUACCUGGCAGGUAUUUUUAUAAUCCCAUAACUGUUGUUUUUCUUCAGCUCUCAUUUUCUGUUUUGCAGCCUGGCCACCUGGUCAGAGCCUUUUCCAUCUGUAUGCAGCGUGCAUGGCUGGAGCAGCCCACAGGAGACCAGGAUUAAAAACUGUGAGCUAACACAGCAGCUCAAGGCUCAGCAACACAAAUACCUCCUUUCCCAUUUUUUUUGGCAUUUCAGCCAGGCAGAGUGUCACCCUGACAUGGAGGAGGGGGAGAAGGCACCGACCUAUACAGGGUUUGUUGGGGUCCUUGAAGAGGAACUGCUUAUCCUGGAUGAGGAUCCAAGGAAGAUUUUUCUUCUUUCACGUGGAUUAGGCAUUGCCCUGUGUGCAGGCUUAAGGUAGGAAAAGGGAAGCUGAAAAAUAGUUGGAUCUAUGGGUCCAGCUAUGAGAUUUGUCAUUCCAUGGGACCUCUUCCACAACAGAUGGGGAAUGAUGUGGUGAGUCUGGGCUGGGACCACCCGGAGACACCAGCAAGGAAAAGCAUUUUCCUGUUUCACAGGUCUUCAGCACCAAGAAAUUGUUUUAUUUUAUACUGAUCCAGGAAAAAUUGAGAGGCCUCUGAGGACAUUUCUGAAGUCAGCAGCAACCUGGAGGACGAAACCUUCGUCUCUCCCACCACGGCAGGGGGGCUGUGCUGGCCAUCCGGCACCAGCAAAGCCCCACAGUCGGGAUACUGGAUGAUACUGGAAAAGGGAGCUCCUCUGUCAGGAGAGUGCAGUGUCCUCUCCAGGGCUGGGAUGAUGAGGCACCUACAGGCCAUGCCCUUGCAGAUGCCACGAGUCUGUGGACAAUGAAUGUGAUGAGCAGAAAGGCUUUUCUUCCCGUGUUCCCACAUGGUGAUUAAUCUUCCCAGUGUUUGAAGGUGGGGAACAGCUGCCUUGGGGCUGCAUGGAGCAGGAAGAUGCCUCAGAAGCUUUGUCCUCCCCGAAACAUUCCCCACUGGGCCACGGGUGAGUAAGAGCCCGGGGUGGGAAGUGGGAACAGCCACAUCCAUCCCACGGAGCGGGAGCCCUCCGUUCCCAGCAGGGGGGGACUCAUCAGCUCCUCGGAUCAGGCUGCAGAAAGCUGGGCCACAAACUGGGCUCCAUGCCACGGUGAGGUGUCAGGAAUCCUCCAGAGGUGGCCCCUUGUUCUGUCACCGCCGCGCUUGUUCCUCGGGAGAACCACAUUAACUCUGACCCUGCUGCCCUCACCACAGAGCCUCUCUUCCCAUCUCCCUGCUCUAUCCUUUCAUCGCUGUGAUGCCUAAAAAUCACCAGCUGGAGUGGUUCUGAGAGCCAGAGAGGGCUUUCUGGGGAAUAACUGGAGUGCUAUUCCAGCAUCACGAGACAUCCCAGCCUCUCCUGCAGCCACAACGGGAGCAUUUUCUGCAGUGAGAGCAAAAUAAACAUCAAGACUCUUUAAAAGAUAGUCUGGAGGGUUGAGUGCAAUUAUCGGGCCAAACUCCGUUGCCUUGAGUGUUAUCUAUCACUCCGUAGUUUUCUUCCUCAUAGAAAGGUGGAUAUUAAAUUCUAUUUUUCUUAUGGCCAUAAAAAAAAAGUAAUUUUCUCUAAAUUAUUUCUUCCAGACCUGCUAAAAACAAGAAUCAUAAUGCAGCAGGACCCCCAU